GUCCAGACUCCUACGGGAGGCAGCAGUGAGGAAUAUUGGUCAAUGGGCGGAAGCCUGAACCAGCCAAGUCGCGUGAGGGAAUAAGGCCCUACGGGUCGUAAACCUCUUUUGCCGGGGAGCAAGGGCCGGGACGAGUCCCGGUCCGGAGAGUACCCGGAGAAAAAGCAUCGGCUAACUCCGUGCCAGCAGCCGCGGUAAUACGGAGGAUGCGAGCGUUAUCCGGAUUUAUUGGGUUUAAAGGGUGCGUAGGCGGGCUUUUAAGUCAGCGGUAAAAAUUCGGGGCUCAACCCCGUCCGGCCGUUGAAACUGGGGGCCUUGAGUGGGCGAGAAGAAGGCGGAAUGCGUGGUGUAGCGGUGAAAUGCUUAGAUAUCACGAAGAACCCCGAUUGCGAAGGCAGCCUGCCGCAGCGUUACUGACGCUGAAGCUCGAAAGCGCGGGUAUCGAACAGGAUUAGAUACCCGAGUA
rnacentral:rRNA from 1 species